rnacentral:rRNA from 1 species
AGUGAACGCUGGCGGUAGGCCUAACACAUGCAAGUCGAACGGCAGCACAGUAAGAGCUUGCUCUUACGGGUGGCGAGUGGCGGACGGGUGAGGAAUACAUCGGAAUCUACUUUUUCGUGGGGGAUAACGUAGGGAAACUUACGCUAAUACCGCAUACGACCUACGGGUGAAAGCAGGGGAUCUUCGGACCUUGCGCGAUUGAAUGAGCCGAUGUCGGAUUAGCUAGUUGGCGGGGUAAAGGCCCACCAAGGCGACGAUCCGUAGCUGGUCUGAGAGGAUGAUCAGCAACACUGGAACUGAGACACGGUCCAGACUCCUACGGGAGGCAGCAGUGGGGAAUAUUGGACAAGGGGCGGAAGCCUGAUCCAGCCAUACCGCGUGAGUGAAGAAGGCCUUCGGGUUGUAAAGCCCUUUUGUUGGGAAAGAAAAGCAGCAGGUUAAUACCCCGCUGUUCUGACGGUACCCAAAGAAUAAGCACCGGCUAACUUCGU